AGUUGGUCCUGAUGAUUGUUGCUUCACGUUCUAUCCGAGAAAAUUGAACAAAAACAUCAUCAAAUCCUAUAACAUAACUGAUCACCGCUGCGCCAAGUCUGGAGUCAUUUUUGUUACAAUUAGAGGUAGACACAUCUGUGUGGAUCCAACUCUGUCCUGGGUCAAGAACAUCAUGAGGUUCGUGGAUGAGAACUCCUUUUAAAAGGGUGACCUGCUCAUCCUGAAGACUUCUUCAUCAGUAAAAAUUAAAUCAGAAUGUUGUUUCCUUUCUUUUUAAUUUUGCUUUAACAUGUUUUUUUUAUUAUGCUCAUUAUCCAACAAUAUAAACCUUGUUGCAAUAAAGUUUGUAGUUUUAAAUGUUUGAUUUUUCUCAUCUGAAUUUCUGUAAAUGUCAAAAUAUAAUUAAUUUUAAGAUUUGAUCUUGAAUAAAAACGAUGUGUAUA